rnacentral:tRNA from 1 species
GGCCCUAUAACUCAAAGGAUAGAGUACUGGCCUUCGAAGCCAGCAGUGAUGGUUCGAAUCCGUCUAGGGUCA